AGCUUAUAAAAGUAUAGAUAAAUCAGUUUUGGAUUCUUUUGCAAGAACUUAUAGAUCAUAAUCUACAUAAUGCAUGGAAGGAUUUUACUCAUUUGCAUUGUUGGACUUCUAAUCCGAACAUCAAAUUUAUGGUUUAGCGGACUCCCCGUGACAACCUAUACCCGUUUAAUGGGAUGGGAUGUAAAAGGUGACGACGGUCUCGGCCUAUCUUGGCGGGAUGUCCAAAGUGAUACUGCAGACGAAGAUUGGAAAGAUUUUUCUUUUGAAUAAGAAGCCGAGACACCAAUUACAGCCACUCCAAGAGAACAUAAAAUUUUGUGGCUGAUUGAUAAAAAUAUGGACAAUAC